UGGUGGUGGUGGGGGUUCUACCCAGCAGGGUUUCCCGGAGCCCCUACUGUGUGCCAGACGCUGCAGAGCCAGGGAAGCAGAGCGCGCGGCGGGCAGGACCACAAGCAGCAAGCUUCCCGAGUGGAGCCGAGUCCGGGCCUUGGGUUCCGUGAGACGCAGAGACACGUGUGUGAUGGUAAUGGCAAUCAGUAGCAGCAGUGACAGUGGCCACACAUUCAAUGCUGGCAAGACGUUAUCUUCCCGACCCUGUGAGUGAGGGAAGUCGGCACUUGUCUCUCCUGCUGGGUCCCUUGGUGACCUUGCAGGGACUCUACAAGGUUGGUCCCCUUGCAUGGGGCUGGACCCUAGUUGGGUCCAGUGCAGCGACCCAGCCACACCCAGGGCCGGGAGGGAACUGUGCCCCUUGAGAUAGAUGGCUGUCACCUCUGUCCCCUCUGGGUCCGGGGCUGGGAUGCAGGGAGCAGUCUCGCUGACACGCUGGCUCUGGGCCCCAGGGGGCAUGACGGAAUCGCGCGUGAUUCUGGCUGCAGUGGCCCCAGGGCCGGAAUCCGGCGGAACACGGUGUCAGCAGAAGCUGCCAGCCAUGCAGCUCCGAGGCCCUGGCUGCGGGGAGGGCUGGGAGCAGGUCCAGGCUCCGCACCCCCGCCUUCCAGGGAGGGUCUGGGCACCCGCCCACCGGGCUGAGAGCCCUGCAGGCCUAGGGGCCUUUCUGCUCUGGAGAGAGAGACAAGGACAUCGGACACCUGCCUCCCAGAUUUCUCCCCUUCAGAAGGGCUGCUCCGCUCUGCCCCGUGUGCCCCUCCCAGCCACCCAUCCGAAAGCUGUAGUAAGCACUGUGCCACUCCUCUGAGACCGAUGGGGAGACCAAGGCUGCAGCCGCUCUCUGUGAGCAGGUGGUGGGGUUCGGCUACCGGCGAUCUGGAGUCACAUCUUGUAGGCACCUCGCUCCCUGUGUGGUCCUCAGCACGUCACUCUGCCUCUCUGAGCCUCACGCCCCUCACCCAUAUACCAGGACAAUCUCAGGACCUCCCUCCUGGGGAUGUCACCGGGCAGAGUCCCUCGUGGAGGGCCUAGCGAGCUGGCAAGACUCCGGAAGUGGUGACCAGUCAGUGGGAGCAGAGGAAGGAUGGGAGGGAGGAAUCUAAGGCCCCACUCACAGCCUCCAGGUCCCCUGGAAUGAACAUGCUGUGUGCCCUCGCCUGGACCUGUGAGCCUCAACUGGGGCUAUGCAUAGCCCAUAGCAGAAGCCCCUGGUUAAUCUCCCAUGAGCCUUGGCGCCACUGCAGAGAAUCCAGACCCCGUUCAAAAUGACCAUCACCACCCACUGUGGCCUCCGUUGUCUAAGAGGAGGCAGUGUGGGGGAUGGGAAACCCGGAAGCAGAGCCCAGAGCACCUGGGACCCCAGCUCCCAUCAUUCCUUCUCUGGGCUCCCCGCGUUCAUCUGAGAGGCAAAUCUCAAGAGUGUCCCUUCAGAAUCCUAGAACUGGGAGGAAGCACAGAGAUUCUUGAGCACAAAAGCCCUCACUUUGUCAAAGACUCUGAGGCCUGGGAGGGAAAGGGACUCACCCUUGAACUUGGGGCACUGUUCAGACACUGAGGCAGGAUGCUGGUGUCCUGGGACCUCUCCGCUUCAUCAGCCAAGGCUGUCCCUCUGGCUGCAGGUGUUUACCUAGGACCGGCAUGGCUGGGUCCGGUCCUAACCCUGUUCAGCCAUCCAGGGACCCGACAGGCUGUUUCCAGCACAGAGUCUUCGCCUCCCACCAGCCGCGCGGGGGGAUUCUUACGUGUGACUUGCUUUUCAACGGGGAGCAGGGUGGGUGGGCACGUUUCUAUAUCUGGACACAUUCAGUAAAUAUUAAAGUUCUUUUCCACUCUUGAGCCCCUGUAUCAAAAUAGGAUUUUAACACACACACACACACACCGGUUUUUUUGUUGUUUUUUUGUUUUCAAUUUGGAAGGGACGGAUCCCGGCUCCAGCACUUACUGUGUGGUCUUGAGCAAGUAUCUUUCCUUCUCGGUGCCUUAGUUUCUUCAUCUGUAAAACACUUGUGAUCGGAUCAGCCUCCAAGAUGGGUUGGGGGGGGUUCGUGCGUGUGAAGCAUUUGGCAUAGUCCCUGGCAGGAAGGGCUGUUAAGUUUACAUUACGACUGUGUGACUGUUGGAGAGCUUGUGGACGUCCAGAGGAGGAACAAAGGAGACGUUUUUGCCCAGCGUCAGCUCAGAGACAGCUCCUGUCCCCACCGUCAUAGUUUCCCCCCACGCAUGGUCCGCGCCUUCUUUCUCCCAAGUCCAGGCGAAGCUCUCCAUACAGCUGUUCGUCUUGCUCUUGCUUCACGUCCCAGCAUUAACAUUUCCCAAAGUUGUUACAAGCACCGUUUUAAUAUCUUCCCAGGGUAAAGGGCCUUGCCUCCCCCCGUGGCCCCCGCGCCACUGGGCGCCGAGGAGACCUUGCAGCAGAACAGAGCUGUGGGUCCUGCCCUAGAACUACAGACACGUGUUAGCCAGAGAAGAUCCCCUCGAGCUCUCGACGGGCUCCCGGCGUGGGUAUGAUAGGGUGGCCUGGAAGGCCUGAGCCCCCGAAGUUUCCAGAGUGUGUGUGGGUGUUGGGGGGAACAUGCCUGGGGAGAGGGGGGAGGCGGCACCAAGGGUAUCAGGGCGGCUUACCUGACGGUCCUUAGUCUUUGCUUGAAGUCUAACUUGUUCUGUGCUGGAAACUCAGAAGAUAGAGCCAGAAAGGAAGUGAGAAAAGUCUCCCGCCGUUGCGAAAGCCGGAGCUUCCAGCCGUGGUCUCUGUGCACGGGCGUGUGCGUGCACACACUACUGUGGGUGCGGCCACACCAUGUACCGUUUCCAUGUGGGGUGUUGUGCCUGUCUCCUAGUGGGACUAAGACUGGGGACGGUGGAGCAAGAUGCUUGGGUUCAAAUCUGGGCUGUACCCCUCCCUAGCUGUGUGUUCCUGAGCUCGUCACAUCACCUCUCUGUGCUGUAAUUUCCCGAUCUGGAAAGUGGGCUAGUAACGGCGUUCAUAGGGAAGCGUGGGCAGGUCAGAGCACCAGCCGUUUGACCCAGACUCCUCCUGCACUCUCCAUCCUUGGAGAAAAAGGAGUUUUAUUGGCUACAUAGCGACCCCUGGUCACCUGCUGCCUCACACCAAGGUUGUUUCUGGAUUUUCUCAGGUAGGGACAGCUCUGCACUAAGCCUUCUUGAACCUCAUUUGCCUCUGGGAAGCCUCCACCCUGGGCCUGUCCCCCGCCCCGGCUCCCACGCUUUGCUUCCUACCGAGUGACCUCCUGGACUGCUCUGGCCUUGCCUCGUGAGGCUGCAGAGAGCCCGGGGGCGGGGGGGGGGGGCAGUGGAUCUUCGAGCCUCCCUGCUCCCCGUGCAGUAAGUGGUCCAAGGGGUGUGAGACCAGGAGGGAGAAACUGUCUUUGGCAGUCUCUGAGCGGCUUGCCUGGACCGGCCGUCUGUCGCAAAGGACGGGGACAGGAGGCGGCAGGCAGGGGUGGGAGCAGCCCAGCUCGCACCUGGGCUGGGGCUGGAAGCCACCUCCGCCCUUCUGGGAAGGAGGUGGGACCUGAAUAAAUGCUUUCCCAAACGAGAGUGCUUCUGCCUGCCUGCUGCCUGCUCGCCACCCAGCUCCAGCUGCUGUGGGGCCACGGGAGCCCCCCAGGGAUGGUGUCCCCAGCAAACCAGCCUCAAGGAGUGCAUUUCUCCGGGCUCUCAAGGCUUUAUCCAAAGAAUGGGGAAAACUCUUGAGCACCCACGACAUGCUCUGUGUUCUCUUCCGCCCACUCCAUUCUUCAAGGUUUGUUUGCUGAACACCCACUGGGCAGGGAGGCAGCCCAGAGGGAGUGAUAAACGCACCCCCUUGUUGAGUAUCUGUGCUGGCCCCAUGCUGUAGGUGUGAGUCUGUUUCCUUUAAAAAAAAAAACCUCAUUUUGAGGUCGUCAUAGAUUUACGUACAGCUGUGAGAAAGAGCAGACAGAGAGCUUGUACAGCCUUUGCCUCCUUAGCCCGGUGGUGACAUCUUGCGUAACCAUAGGACAGUGUCCCCAGCAGCAUACUGACCUUGACACAAUCCCCGGUGUUAUACGUACUUGUAUGUGUGUGCCUGUGUGUAUCUGUGUGUGUGUGUGCCUGUGUGUGUCUCUGUGUAAGUAUGUCUCUGAGUGUGUGUGUCUGGGUAUCUUUGUGUGUCUCUGUGUGUGCUCUCUCUGUGAGUGUUUGUGUCUGUGUGGCCUGUUUCAUUUUACAGGGAGGAAGUGAGGCUCAGGGUCAAGGCCUUGGCCAGGACCAGCCCGCCAGGGCGCAGCAGAGCUGGGCUUCAUGUCCAGGCAUUCUGACCCCACAUCCCUGAAUUACUCUGGGGAAAAAAAAGUCACAUUUACUCUUCGAUGCUGUUCUUAGACUUGUAAUCCCUCUGGUCUCUGCGGCAGCUGUGAGCUGAAAACCCGGACCGGCUAGAACCGGAACAUGUUGGUGCUGGGCUGUGGGCUUCUGUUUCACAGACCAGAACACUGAGGCUCAGAAGUGAACAGUUUGCCUAACGUCCCCCAACUAGCUGGUCUGGGGCUGGUCUGAGUCUCUCCCCUCAUGGUCUACAUGUGACAGGGACCACAAUGAACUUCUUCUUCCAAGAGGUGAAAGGACAGAAGACACUUUUGAUUACAAGUACCAGGCUCAGGAUUACGAGGAUUACGAGGAAGAUAGCAGGGGGCAUUUGGGAACAUUUCUGGGUAGGAGGUGACCUCGGACACUUAGCAUGCCCCAAAUGUGUGCCAAGGAACACUAAUGACUCAGGUUUUGAGGUGACUCUUCUUUCCUUGCUUACAUAUGUUUGGGAACUGUGGGUUAAAGAAAUCAAUACAGGGUUGGGUGCUGCAGGACUUAUCAGUGCCUUUAAAUAUUUUUUUUAAAGAUUUUAUUUAUUUAUUUGAGAGAGAGAGCACGUGAGCAUGAGAGGAGAGAGAUCAGUGGGAGAAGCAGACUCCCUGCCGAGCAGGGAGUCCGAUGUGGGACUCGAUCCCAGGACUCCAGGAUCAUGACCUGAGCCAAAGGCAAUCGCUUAACCAACUGAGCCACCUAGGCGCCCCUUAUCAGUGCCUUUAAUGCUCUGACGUACACUAAUGGCCUUCUAAAGAGAGGACAGAUUGCCAUUCUGCACAGUAUAUUUCAGGAACUGCUUGGUAAGACGCACUGUGGUGUGAGAGUCUGAGGGCUGAGGACAUCGAUUGCUCUGAUGUGUCUGGCCGUAGGGCCAGCAGCCCUCCGAUGAAUGUGGAGGCUCUUGCCCAGCAUGGGAAAGGCUGCGGAGUGACAUGACAUGUGGGAAGUGGGAUGCAGAUCUGUCUACCCGCCGUGAUCACAGCCAUGUGCCUCUGCGUGUGUGCCUUGUGGACAAGGAGGGGAAGUCAGCUGUCUUAGGUUGACAACAUUUCAGGUGAUUUAUUAUUUUUAAUAUAAGAUUUUUCUUUCUGAAACCAACAAAGGAGGUUGGGCUCCAUUCACUGGGGCAAUAAAAAGCCAUUGUGUAUUUGAAGCAAGGGCUGAAGGCAACCUAACAAAAGCGGUUUUAAGAGCAUUUUUCUGUGUGGCGUUGGGGAGGCCAAGCUGCAAGGAGGAGGGGGCCCGGCAGAGAGCACUGGGAGCCGGCGGCGGUGGCCCUGGCCUCGGCCCGAGUGGUGGCUGAGAAGGGAGAGCUGGGCGUGACGACCUCACAGCUCUGUGCUUUCCUGGGGACCAGAGAGGUUAUGUCACUUGCCUUGAGUCACACAGUGGACAGUCUGCAGACCUGGGACCUGGCUGUAGCUCCGAGUUCAGAGUCUUGGAACGUUGCGCUGUGGCACGUAUCUGUCUUCGUCUGCAUCACAGUUUUGCCAGCUUUCUGGGUAUGUACUGCUUAUCUAUGCUCUAAGGAAGUAAGACUCAUGUGUGUGUGUGGGGGGGGGUGUGCAUGUGUGUAUGAGUAUGUGCAUGUGAGAAGGGGAGCAGAGAAUCCGGACGUCUGCUGCAGCGUGACCCCACGACUGUCUCCCCGACAGAGAACAUUCAGGAAGCCCCAGGCCCCUGCAGCACCCCGACCACCGCGGGAAGGACGCAGACAAUGAGAGCCUCUGCCCUGUUUUAAUAAGCGUGAGCAGCUGCUUUUCAGUCACUUCUGGUCUGUAGGUCCUCGUUGGAUGCUUUUGGGGCCAGGAGCGCUUCUGGAUUUUUCAGCCCCAUAGACAGGGGCUUCCGUGCAGAGGCUGUAUUUUCUGGAACACCCAGUGGGGCCCCCUCUCAUCAGCCGCCGUGGUGCUUGUGUACGGAACAUGUGAACGUUCACACCGGGCGGGGACGGAGCUGAGGUAGAGCAGCUGGCAGGCUAGGCGGGCCUCACUGCAGAAGGAGUGGGGGAGACUCCAGGUCUCCAGGACUUCUGGCCUUGAGGCCUGGGGAAGGGCUGGGCGUCUGUGUUGACGCACAGGCAUUGCGGCGUCCUGAGUAGGGGCGACUCUCAGUUUCGGUGACCAGGAGAGAAUGUCCCUGUCUUGGAUUUUUCCACGAUUGAGAAGCCUGGGGAGGGUGCAGGUCGGACUGUACACUUGGGUGGAAGGCGGGGUCAGGUAGCCCAGAGCAAGGGAAGCGCUGGACGUUACCCCCAGACCCCCGCCCUGGGGGACUGCAGUGCCUGUGUGUGCCAGGGGGCACUGGGGUGUCUUGGUUGGCUCCGCCCUGUCCCCCCCCACCCAAGCUGCUGGAAGCUAGGCCUGCCCGGACCUUGAGCAGCCACAUCAGCUCUCCUAGCAGUGGGUCACCGUCCUGCACAAAUGCUCCCCAGUGGCCCUGGGAGGGAGUCCUGGAGGCCGCAUGUGCGUGUUUAGACGGGGUGGGACCUGCUGGAAUUUGCAUUCCCUCAUUCAGAAGCUAAAUUGAUCUUUUAUUAAGAUCAGCAAGAUCCAUUUUUAACUGAAUUUGAAGGUCACUCUGUGCUGCUGUUCCUUCCCAGAACGCUGAGGGCGACUAUGUAUCCACAGCGCUUGAGGACCGGCCAUCAGCCUUAUAGUGGGCCACCCUGUGUCAGGGGUCCCAGGACCCCAGUACAGGACCCUGGGCCAGCAGCUUCCUUCCUGUGGGGUCAGGUGAGGGACCAGAUAUGAUUUGUUCAUUGGUCUACCAUCUACCGGCCACCUCCCAUGUGCCAGACACGGGGGAGGACCAGUCCUGGUUCCCAAAGAGUACGGAGCCCGGUGGGAAAGCUGAACGGAUGGACAGAGGAUUCCAGGACAGGGGGAUGAGGGCUGGGCUGGGGUCAGCAUUCUGGGGAAGGAUUGUAGGAACACACUGAGGCCCCCCGUUCACUUGCGGAGGGGCAGGCCAGGCUUUGUAGCUUUCAAAAACCACAUCCAUAUCCUAGUUUAGGGCCGAAAACCCCAGAGAAGCCAGCACGUCAGACUGUGGUUCUAGAAGAUGAGACCUACGGGAGCUAGCUGUGUUCUUUCCAGCUGCCGGUGGUCGUGAGAGCGCCAGCCCCUUGGCCGGGCUAAAGUAAACACCUCUGUAUGCCGGGUUGUUUGGCACUUUUCUCUCUGGAUCAAGGCCACAUGUCACACCAGUCAGGAACCUGGUCCCAGUGUCCCUGUUUCGUGUCCUCUCGGAGCGAGCCCCUUAAUCGAGUGCCUCCAUCUCCUGGUUGGACAGCGGGAAAAUUCUCAGGGCCCCUACCCCGUUCCGGCUGAGAGGCCAAGGCCCACAGGACGGCGGUGUGUGCGCUCUGCGGCCAUGUAAGCCAAGUCGGUCUGAGCAGAGCACAAGGCAGGCAUGAUUGUCUUCAAGUGUGUCUCUACUGUGCCUUUGACGUGUGGUGAGCGUAUAGGGUACUUUCCAGAUGCAGUCAGUGAUCUACGGAACGUGCUUUCUCCAAGCCUCCUGCCAACAGCGCCUGUGUGAUUGGGGAACCCUCCCUUCCUGGGACACUGAGCCAGGGCCCACCGGUUCCCCACUCCCGGGGCGUGGGUCUUCCUGUGGAGAGGUUCCCACCUCCCGGGAAGGCAGCCCUGAUGGUCUGGGCCUGUAGCCUCCUGCCCGCUCCAUCCCUCCUCUCUGCUGUAACCCUCAGGCCCACAGAAUGUCCGGGAAAGGAGCCCGCAUGUCCCUUGAUGGGAAAGAAAAGCGGGCUUUCCUUCUGUGGCCGCGUGAGUGGGUGGGUGCGUGGCGGUCGAAGGGCACACAGUCCGCUCUCAGCCAAGGUGUUCCCAGGUGCCGCCUGGGGGCAGGCGCUGCCGCGGGGCUGGGUGAGGGGGCCCCUGGCUGUGGACAGCAUAGACAGGAGCCUCCGCCGGCUAGGAGCUGACCUCGCAGCCAAGGAAAGAGACAAAAAAGAAGUGAAUGAACAGAGCCUAGGGCAGGCGUGUCUGCUGGUGGCCUGGGGAAGAGGUGGUGGCCAAUGGGGGGGUUGGGAAGGAGGUGGCCGUGAGUCCCCCUGGCCAAAGCUUGGCCUGAGGAGGAACGCCAACUCCUCCCCCUGUACUGUAGGAGGACCCGGUGGCUUUAGAGGUGCUGUGCGCUUACCCCCAGAUGACCCUGGAUGCCACUGUUUGAUUCUGAAGAGCCUUGCAGAGGACCCCCCCACACACAUACACCACCUCUUGGCACCCCCAUGCCCAGCUCCCUGCUCUCUGGGCUUGGGUCCUGGCACUGGCCUUCUGGCCAGGCUGCCUCUGAGUGGGCAAAGUAUGAGCUGGGGUAUGGGGUUCCUUCUGUCCCCUGGUGGGGCACGGAGAGUACAUAACAGAGGGGCCUGCUGUGUGUUCUGUCAAGGCAUCCUGGCUUAACCUGCCAAAGAGGCAAGUUUGUUCACCAAGACUCCACUCCUUCAUUUCUAUGUAAAUAGACACUUGGUUUCCUUGUCUGUCAAAAAGCAUUUCAGGUGGGAACUUGGAGUUUGCGCCUCUUUACUUUUUCUCUCUGCCAUCUAAGUUCGGGAGCUCAGGAUCCAAAAAGGAUGAAACAGGGCAUUCCGUCCAGACGGCAGACUUUGCUCUCUUAGCCACGGGCAGCAGGGAGGGGGUUUUGAGCAGGAGCACAGUGUAACAAGAGGAGAGGCUGAGCCCCUUGUGACGGUCCAGGCAGUAUCUGGAGGAUGGUAGCUGGGCAAGCAGGCCAGAAGCUACUGCACUGGUCCGAGCACAGAUGUGGGGGCAGCACGGACAGCCACCAUGGGAUGGAACAAGCUGGGCUUGGAGACAGGCUCCUGGGCCGGGAGCCCUAAGCACCUGCUCUGACUCUGCCGUGCUCUCUUUUCUCCUAAACAAAAAUAGCUAGGACUGUCACCCUUCCUUCUGCCACUUGAGGACAAUCCCACGUGCUCCCCUGCCUGCUCCCUGACACCUUGUCACUCUCUUCCUCCCCUUUCCUUCCACCUGCAGAUAUACUUGGGUCUCAUUUUUGUCACUAGCAGGUGCUUGUCCUUGUGGGCCAAUUUUAUCUUCCCCUGUGAGGCUCCAGGUCCCUCAGGGCAGGGACCUCUUGAAAGAACCCUUGGGUGUCCUCCCUUGCUCAGCAUCAGGCAGCCAGGCCAAGGCGACAGUGAUCUACUCUCAUCCUGCUGUAAUGGGAGUAAUUGUCUGUGGAGCGUUCUCCCAAGGGCUUCCGUCCCAUUGUCCCGAGGCUGCCCGUCCUCUCCGUAUCAGGAGCAGGGAAACAAGGAAACUGCUCAGAGGGGUCACUGGACUGGCCCCACGUCACACAGCUGUCCGUGGUGGAAGCUAGACGUGAACGCCGAGCCCUGGUCUCUGGGCCCCGGGUGGGUGUUUCCCAGCUGUGGGCUGGCGCUGUCACACGGGGUGACUUCCUUUCAGGGACCUGCAGAUGCGGCCCUAACUGACAGUGAAAUCACACAGAGAGAAAUUUGUGGUUUUUUUGACCCUUUCUUUAGCCCUACUGCAAGGAGAUGGCUCAGGGCUGGUUUCUCAUCCAACGUCAGAAUUUUUUUUUUAAUUGUGCUAAAAUGGAUGUAAUAUAAAAUUUGCCAUAAGCCCAUGGCAUUGCUUUUUAGUUUUCAGACCCUUUUGGAUUUCAGAAUUGAGGAUAAAGAAGGUAGUGCUUUAGUGUGAAAUCCCUGUAGAUAGGUUUAGUUAACGUCUGUGGCUGGUGACCGAUACUGGCUUUUUAAAAAAUCUUUAAAAGGUUGUUUUGUUUUGUUUUUUAAGAUUUUAUUUAUUUAUUUGACAGAGAGAGAUCACAGUAGGCAGAGAGGCAGGCAGAGAGAGAGAGAGAAGGAAGCAGGCUCCCUGCCGAGCAGAGAGCCCGAUGCGGGGCUCCAUCCCAGGACCCUGGGAUCAUGACCUGAGCCGAAGGCAGCAGCUUAACCCACUGAGCCACCCAGGCGCCCCUAAAAGGUUUUUAAAAAGCAAGUUGAUGAGGGAAUGCUUGGCUGGCUCAGUCAGUAGCGUAUGCAACUCUUGAUCUCUGGGUUGUGAGUUCAAGCCCCACAUUGGGCUUAGCCAUUACUUAAAAAUAAAAUAUUUUUUUUUUAAAAUAUGAGUUGAUGGGAAGGAACGUUUCAGGGAAAUGGUGGUCCCGGUGGGUGUUAGGGGAGCUGCCCUCCAGGGCUCCCUCCCGGGCCCUGGUGACCGUCAGCUCCCCUAUAUGUGAUGUGUGGAAAGCUGGAUUCCAGAACCGACCCGCCUACCCACGCAGGUGUCAGGGCCUGGACAGGAAAGGGCCCGGCAGCUGCCCGCCCCAGUCCCCACCGCCUUCCAGAAUCUGGAAUCUGGAGAAAGGGGCCUGAGUGCUGGGGUCCCCAGGAUCAUGGGACUUCCCGUCAAGGGCCUGGAAGUGCUGCAGGACGCUGAGGCCCAAGUGGCUAUGAGGGGCCUGCUGAGGCCUUGGCCUAGCUCGUGGGGUCAGGGAGCCGCUGCUAGGCUGUGGGAAGCUGGAGGCCCCCAGAGCAGAGCGCGGCACAGGUGAGCGGGAGUUGCUGCUGCGCGGAAGGAGGCAGGUGCUUCCCCCGAGGCUCCCGGCCAGGUCGAGCGUCCCCACCCCGCUGUAAAUAUGUGGGGCCCUUUUAGGUGCCCCGUGUCACAUGCUGUGUGGGGGUGCCCACAUCCCCGGGUCCCUGCCGAUCUCAGAAGGACCCACGAGAAGGGAUUGCCACCCUCCCCCCACCACCCCGAGAACCCAGAGCGCCCUCUCCAGAGAAGCUGUGUGUCCCUUGGAAGGUACCCGUGGUCCUGGAGGGGACUCGGGACCAUACCAGGAACCCCUGUGUGGAGCCUCACAGAAAUCACACCAGUUCCCUUGUCUGUUUUCGCCUGGGUGCCCUCCUUGGGAGCCCACAUGUGGUCUACCCAGGCCCAGAGUGGAGCCAGGCCCGGCCGGGGGUGGGGUGGGGGGCAGAGGCCUGGGGUGAGGCCUUGUCCCGCUGUCACCCUGGCGACAAGCUGCAGGCUCCUGGCUGUGCCCCAGCUCCUGGGGAGGCAGCCCUGGGCUCCCUCUCACACCAGCUCCUCCCCCCCACCCUCGGCCAGAACAUCUGUGUGCCGCUGGGGAAUGUGGCUCCCAGCCCUGGUCCACCCCAGAGAGGAUUUCUUUGGCCUCCGGCCUUUCUUCUAGGAGCAGGUCCUGAGGAGCAUCUGAGCUCUGAAUUCACAUCUGGCUCUGCGAUCUCUCCCGGGGCCCCCACCUCUUACCCUGACACCCCCCGAGCCUCUCCCCCCCCGCCCCGCUGUCCCUCCCAGUGCUCCAUUCAAGACGGCCACCCAGACAGAGCCUCUUGCAGGCCAGGCCUUGACCUGUGGGCCUUCUGGGCCUAGAGCGGGGCAAGGAGGAACAUCCCGUCUGCCCAGAUGGGGGUCCUGACCACAGCAGGGGCAUGCGUGUGUGCAGAGCCCGGGGAGUUGAGUGAAGGGCCACUGUGGCUGGGCAGGGGCAGGGCCAGGAGAGCGCAGGGGGAGGUGAGGGCAGCAAGCUGGCAGCG